rnacentral:tRNA from 1 species
GGAGAGGUGGCUGAGUGGUUGAAGGCACCGGUUUCGAAAACCGGCAUGUCCGUAAGGGCAUCGGGAGUUCGAAUCUCCCCCUCUCCG